GGAAUAUUGCGCAAUGGGCGAAAGCCUGACGCAGCGACGCCGCGUGGGGGAGGAAGGCUUUAGGGUUGUAAACCCCUGUCAGGUGGGACGAACCGCUUAGUGGAUAAUACCUGCUAGGUCUGACGGUACCACCAGAGGAACCUCCGGCUAACCCCGUGCCAGCAGCCGCGGUAAUACGGAGGGAGCGAGCGUUGUUCGGAAUUACUGGGCGUAAAGGGCGCGUGGGCGGCCUUGUAAGUCGGGUGUGAAAGGCUGGGGCUCAACUCCAUGCAUUGCACUCGAUACUGCUUGGCUAGAGAAAGGUAGAGGCGAGCGGAAUUCCCGGUGUAGCGGUGGAAUGCGUAGAUAUCGGGAAGAACAUCUGCGGCGAAGGCGGCUCGCUGGGCCUUUUCUGACGCUGAAGCGCGAAAGCGUGGGGAGCAAAC
rnacentral:rRNA from 1 species